CACUAGGUUGAAAUCAUCUAAAGAGGUGGCCUAGGCAAAAGUUAGGACAUAAAAAAAAGAUUUGCUAGGAUGAAAACCUCGAAAUAGGCGGUCUAGGAAAAAGUUAGGACAUAAGAAAAAAUAAAUAUAAUCACCUAUUUUGAACUAUGGUAUGACUUUAUCCUCCUCACCUAGGUAUGUAGGCAGCUUAGAGUUUCAUUUUGAGUUAAGUCGCAUGAGUUUAAAAUAUACAUAUUACCCCAAUCGUUAUUCGAAGGAAGAAUGAUGGAAUAUAAUUCACUUGAUUGGAACUUAAAAAUCGGGCAUACAUGAAUUUUGUGCCUUAUCAAGGAUUGGUGGUUCAAUGGGGGCAAGCCUCCAUAGCAAAUUGGCAUCUCCGAUGGAUGAAUGUAGACUUUUAGUAGAAGGCUAAAUCUCUAAUUUGAAGCCCUCAAGUUCAUCGGUCUUCAAGUUGAAUUAUAUAAGCCCUCCAAAUUUUCAAGUAUGUCGCUCUUCAAGUUAAAUUUUGCAAGUCCACCGCCCUUCAAGUUUAAUUCUACAAGUCCGCCAAACUUUAAGUUGAAGUAUUCAAUCCCUCCAAGUCUUUAUGUCCAUCGGUCUUCAAUUUGAAGUCCUCAAAUUCGCCGGUUUUCAAGUUGAAUUAUAAGCCAUAAAAGCCUUAAAGCUGAAGUCUUCAAGUCUGCUAAUUUUUUAAGUUGAAGUUUAAAAGUCCACUGCUCUUCAAGUUGAAGUAUCAAAGUCCACCAAAUUUUCAAGUCCGUCAAAUUUUCAAAUUUUAUGGUCUUCAAGUUGAAAUCUGCAAGUCCAAGUUGAAGUUUUCUAAUUUUCCAAUCUUAAGGUGGACAUGUUAGUCUCUUUGCACCUUAUAUUGGUCUCUUUGAGGGUUUGUACUUAAAAGGAACUAUAUUUUUUCAAUAUUAAGGUAGACAUUGAAGUCCCUUUACACCUUAAGUUGACCUCUUCGCGAGUUUGUCCGAAAAGGAAUUAUAAUUUUUUAAUCUUAAGGUGAACGUUUAAGUCCCUUUGCACCUUAAGUUGGCCUCUUCAUGAAUUUGAUCCUUCUAUAUGAUGUCAUGAAUUUGAUACUUCUAUAUGGUAUCAUGGAUUUGAUAUUUCUAUAUGCUGUCAUGGAUUUGUCCUUCCAUAUAUGCUGUCAUAGAUUUGUCCUUCCAUAUACGGUCAUGAAUUUGUCCUUCCAUAUGAUGUUGAAGAUUUGUCCUAUUUUUUGCCACAAAUUUUUAUUUCUAUGUGAGUCUCGCCUUGAUGAUGAAGAUAUCUCCAUUGCCUAAAACAAUAAAGAAAGAAGGCACCAAAAAUAAAAAAUAUAAGUACAAUAAAGAUAGUUACCUGCUAAGGCGUGCCAUAUUCGAAAAUCUCUCCGAGUCAAGUUUCUAUCAAUAAAAACGGUUUUCAAUUCCGACAUUCCAACAUCGAGAUACGAAGGUUUUGGUAAAGCCGUGAUAAUCUGAAACUGUUGGCGCGUUAGAAUGUAGAAUCGAAUUCAAAAAUUCAUCUAGAAUGAUCCUUAAAGUAUUUAAUUUUGAAUUUCGGAUAUGUUGUAGAUCUUGAAAUCUAGUUUCUGAUAAAUUAAACGAUUUGCGAUUCCAAGGUCUCUAUAUCAAGAUAUAAAACUUUUGUUGAAGCCGCGGUAAUUUGAAACUGUUGACAUGUAGAACGUAGAGCCGACUUCACAAAAUCAUCAAGAAUGUUACUGAAAGUAUUUAAUUCUGAAUUUCUAAUAUGUUGUAGAUCUUGAACUCUAGUUUUAGAUAAAUCAAACGGUUUAUAAUUUCGAGGUUCUUACAUCAAGAUAUAAAACUUUUAGUGAAGUCACAUAAAUCUGAAAAAUAUAGUGAAGUCACACAAAUCUGAAAAAUAUAAGCAUGACAGAAAUUGAGGCUAACUUCGAAAAAUCACGCAAUGAUUCUAAUUCUAAAUUUUGAUAUGUUAUAGAACUAAAAGUCUAGCUUUUAUAAAAUCAAGCAGACCAUGAUUUGUACUUUUCUAGAGCAAGAUAUCAAUUUUAUACCACAAGAGGUGCUGGUUGUAAAAAGGUGAUGAAAAUUAAAAAAAGAAGAAUGAAGAAAUUACCUUCAACUUUUCCAAGCGUCAAAGGCAGAUUCGAACAAAUUGCGAACAC
rnacentral:lncRNA from 1 species